rnacentral:rRNA from 1 species
GAUGAACGCUAGCUACAGGCUUAACACAUGCAAGUCGAGGGGAAACGGCAUUAAGUGCUUGCACUUUUUGGACGUCGACCGGCGCACGGGUGAGUAACGCGUAUCCAACCUUCCCAUGACUAAGGGAUAACCUGCCGAAAGGCAGACUAAUACCUUAUGGUCUUCACUGACGGCAUCAGAUGUGAAGUAAAGAUUUAUCGGUUAUGGAUGGGGAUGCGUCUGAUUAGUUAGUUGGCGGGGUAACGGCCCACCAAGGCAACGAUCAGUAGGGGUUCUGAGAGGAAGGUCCCCCACAUUGGAACUGAGACACGGUCCAAACUCCUACGGGAGGCAGCAGUGAGGAAUAUUGGUCAAUGGGCGAGAGCCUGAACCAGCCAAGUAGCGUGCAGGACGACGGCCCUAUGGGUUGUAAACUGCUUUUGUAUGGGGAUAAAGUCAAUCACGUGUGAUUGUUUGCAGGUACCAUACGAAUAAGGACCGGCUAAUUCCGUGCCAGCAGCCGCGGUAAUACGGAAGGUCCGGGCGUUAUCCGGAUUUAUUGGGUUUAAAGGGAGCGUAGGCUGGAGAUUAAGUGUGUUGUGAAAUGUAGACGCUCAACGUCUGACUUGCAGCGCAUACUGGUUUCCUUGAGUACGCACAACGUUGGCGGAAUUCGUCGUGUAGCGGUGAAAUGCUUAGAUAUGACGAAGAACUCCGAUUGCGAAGGCAGCUGACGGGAGCGCAACCGACGCUGAAGCUCGAAGGUGCGGGUAUCGAACAGG